UGUGAGCUCGAUGAGUAGGGCGGGACACGUGGUAUCCUGUCUGAAUAUGGGGGGACCAUCCUCCAAGGCUAAAUACUCCUGACUGACCGAUAGUGAACCAGUACCGUGAGGGAAAGGCGAAAAGAACCCCGGCGAGGGGAGUGAAAAAGAACCUGAAACCGUGUACGUACAAGCAGUGGGAGCACGCUUAGGCGUGUGACUGCGUACCUUUUGUAUAAUGGGUCAGCGACUUAUAUUCUGUAGCAAGGUUAACCGAAUAGGGGAGCCGAAGGGAAACCGAGUCUUAACUGGGCGUUAAGUUGCAGGGUAUAGACCCGAAACCCGGUGAUCUAGCCAUGGGCAGGUUGAAGGUUGGGUAACACUAACUGGAGGACCGAACCGACUAAUGUUGAAAAAUUAGCGGAUGACUUGUGGCUGGGGGUGAAAGGCCAAUCAAACCGGGAGAUAGCUGGUUCUCCCCGAAAGCUAUUUAGGUAGCGCCUCGUGAAUUCAUCUCCGGGGGUAGAGCACUGUUUCGGCAAGGGGGUCAUCCCGACUUACCAACCCGAUGCAAACUGCGAAUACCGGAGAAUGUUAUCACGGGAGACACACGGCGGGUGCUAACGUCCGUCGUGAAGAGGGAAACAACCCAGACCGCCAGCUAAGGUCCCAAAGUCAUGGUUAAGUGGGAAACGAUGUGGGAAGGCCCAGACAGCCAGGAUGUUGGCUUAGAAGCAGCCAUCAUUUAAAGAAAGCGUAAUAGCUCACUGGUCGAGUCGGCCUGCGCGGAAGAUGUAACGGGGCUAAACCAUGCACCGAAGCUGCGGCAGCGACGCUUAUGCGUUGUUGGGUAGGGGAGCGUUCUGUAAGCCUGCGAAGGUGUGCUGUGAGGCAUGCUGGAGGUAUCAGAAGUGCGAAUGCUGACAUAAGUAACGAUAAAGCGGGUGAAAAGCCCGCUCGCCGGAAGACCAAGGGUUCCUGUCCAACGUUAAUCGGGGCAGGGUGAGUCGACCCCUAAGGCGAGGCCGAAAGGCGUAGUCGAUGGGAAACAGGUUAAUAUUCCUGUACUUGGUGUUACUGCGAAGGGGGGACGGAGAAGGCUAUGUUGGCCGGGCGACGGUUGUCCCGGUUUAAGCGUGUAGGCUGGUUUUCCAGGCAAAUCCGGAAAAUCAAGGCUGAGGCGUGAUGACGAGGCACUACGGUGCUGAAGCAACAAAUGCCCUGCUUCCAGGAAAAGCCUCUAAGCAUCAGGUAACAUCAAAUCGUACCCCAAACCGACACAGGUGGUCAGGUAGAGAAUACCAAGGCGCUUGAGAGAACUCGGGUGAAGGAACUAGGCAAAAUGGUGCCGUAACUUCGGGAGAAGGCACGCUGAUAUGUAGGUGAGGUCCCUCGCGGAUGGAGCUGAAAUCAGUCGAAGAUACCAGCUGGCUGCAACUGUUUAUUAAAAACACAGCACUGUGCAAACACGAAAGUGGACGUAUACGGUGUGACGCCUGCCCGGUGCCGGAAGGUUAAUUGAUGGGGUCAGCGCAAGCGAAGCUCUUGAUCGAAGCCCCGGUAAACGGCGGCCGUAACUAUAACGGUCCUAAGGUAGCGAAAUUCCUUGUCGGGUAAGUUCCGACCUGCACGAAUGGCGUAAUGAUGGCCAGGCUGUCUCCACCCGAGACUCAGUGAAAUUGAACUCGCUGUGAAGAUGCAGUGUACCCGCGGCAAGACGGAAAGACCCCGUGAACCUUUACUAUAGCUUGACACUGAACAUUGAGCCUUGAUGUGUAGGAUAGGUGGGAGGCUUAGAAGUGUGGACGCCAGUCUGCAUGGAGCCGACCUUGAAAUACCACCCUUUAAUGUUUGAUGUUCUAACGUUGACCCGUAAUCCGGGUUGCGGACAGUGUCUGGUGGGUAGUUUGACUGGGGCGGUCUCCUCCUAAAGAGUAACGGAGGAGCACGAAGGUUGGCUAAUCCUGGUCGGACAUCAGGAGGUUAGUGCAAUGGCAUAAGCCAGCUUGACUGCGAGCGUGACGGCGCGAGCAGGUGCGAAAGCAGGUCAUAGUGAUCCGGUGGUUCUGAAUGGAAGGGCCAUCGCUCAACGGAUAAAAGGUACUCCGGGGAUAACAGGCUGAUACCGCCCAAGAGUUCAUAUCGACGGCGGUGUUUGGCACCUCGAUGUCGGCUCAUCACAUCCUGGGGCUGAAGUAGGUCCCAAGGGUAUGGCUGUUCGCCAUUUAAAGUGGUACGCGAGCUGGGUUUAGAACGUCGUGAGACAGUUCGGUCCCUAUCUGCCGUGGGCGCUGGAGAACUGAGGGGGGCUGCUCCUAGUACGAGAGGACCGGAGUGGACGCAUCACUGGUGUUCGGGUUGUCAUGCCAAUGGCACUGCCCGGUAGCUAAAUGCGGAAGAGAUAAGUGCUGAAAGCAUCUAAGCACGAAACUUGCCCCGAGAUGAGUUCUCCCUGACUCCUUGAGAGUCCUGAAGGAACGUUGAAGACGACGACGUUGAUAGGCCGGGUGUGUAAGCGCAGCGAUGCGUUGAGCUAACCGGUACUAAUGAACCGUGAGGCUUAACC
rnacentral:rRNA from 1 species